AUGCCGGCAAUCACAGCUGACUCACCUGACCAAUUCCGUGGAAAGCUUCGACUCCCGCGUUUUGCUAUGCCAACCCACUAUAAGCUCCAUUUCCACCCAGACCUAGUCUCCUCAACAUUUUCUAGUGUGGUGUCGAUUAAUGUCUUCAUUUUAGCGCCCACUCGUUUCCUUGUGCUAAAUGUUGUGGAACUCACCAUCGACCAUGCUUCCAUCCACUUCAAGAGUUUGGAGCCAACCGACGUGGUGUUCUUCAAGGACGACCAGAUUAUGGUACUCGGGUUUCUUAAAGAGCUUCCACUAGGUGAGGGUGUGCUAAGUAUGCACUUCAAUGGCACCCUUAGCGAUGAGAUGAAGGGAUUUCACAGAGGUAAAUACCACUAUAAGGGGGAGAUGGCAUACAUGGCGUUCACAGUGUUUGAGCCCGUGCAUGCGCGACGGUGUUUUCCUUGUUGGGAUGAACCUAAUUUCAAGGCUAAGUCCAAGUUAACUUUAGAAGUUCAAUCUGACUUGGUAGCUCUAUCCAACAUGCCUGUACUUGGUGAGAUGGUGGAUGGUUCUAUCAAGGUUGUCCAUUUUGAGGAAUCACCCCUGAUGUCAACUUAUUUAGUUGCCAUGGUUGUUGGUAUUUUUGAGUUUAUAGAAGGUGUGACGUCAGAAGGCACCAUAGUCCGUGUGUACACCGAAGUUGGCAAGUCUAAACAAGGGCAGUUUGCAUUGGAUGUUGCAGUGAAGUCAUUGGAUCUAUAUGAUGAUUACUUUGAAACUCCUUAUGCACUCCCUAAGCUGGACAUGAUUGGAAUCCCUGAUUUUCCUGUGGCCUUGGAAAACUUUGGAUUGGUCACAAUCGGAGAGGGGGGUUUGCUUUUGGAUGAAACGUCUACAACAUCCACCAAACUGCAGCAAAUUGCAGUUAAUGUGGCACAUGAAUUAGCUCAUCAAUGGUGUGGCAAUCUUGUAACCAUGGAAUGGUGGAAUGACAUAUGGCUAAGUGAGGGAUUUGCUACAUGGAUGAGCCAUGAAGCAGUAGAUUCUUUUUUUCCUCAGUGGAAUAUUUGGCUGAAGUUUCUUGUGGGCAGAGUUGAAACUCUUAGAUUGGAUUCAGUGACGGGGUCUCACCCAAUCGAGGUUGAGAUACACCAUACUAAUGAAAUCAAUGGUAUUUUUGAUGAAAUCAUUUAUGUUAAAGGUGCUUCUAUUAUUCGCAUGCUACAAAGUUUCUUGGGGGCAAAGCGUUUCCAGAAAGCAUUGGCUUCGUAUGUAAAGAAAUAUGCAUACUCGAAUGCUAAAACCGAGGACCUAUGGACAGUGAUUGAAGAGGAAACUGGUGAACCGUUCAAGGAUUUGAUGACUCCUUGGACGAAGGAACCAGGAUAUCCUGUGAUUAAUGUAAAACAUGAAGGGGAACACAUCCAACUUGAACAGGCCAAGUUUGAGUUAGAUGGAUCCUCUCGAUCUAGCUUGUGGGAUGUGCCAAUAACUCUAAGAUGUACAUCAUCAACAGAAAAGUUCAUUUUGAAACAUAAGCAUGACAAGUUGGAUUUAUGUUGUAAACGACAGAAGGAUAGAAAUAUUUGGAUUAAGUUAAACAUAAAUGAAACAGGAUUUUAUCGAGUGAAGUAUGAUAAAGAAAUUACAACUGCACUUUCAUAUGCAUUAGAGGCCAGUGAGUUCUCUUCAAUGGAAAAAAUUGGAAUUUUGGACAACGCACUUGUGCUUUCCAUGUCCUACGAACACACACUAGCUUCGUUGCUACAUAUAGUUUACGCUUGUCGUGAAGAAACCGACUACAAUGUUGUCCCACACAUAUGUGAUAUAACUAGAAGCGUUUCCCAGAUAACUUUUGAUGCCGCACCUAACUUGGCUGGUGACAUCAGACAACUUCUCAUCAAAAUUCUUUUGUCACCUACUCUAAAGUUAGGCUGGGACCCCAAGGAUGGUGAGGGGGACCUAGUUGUAGGUCUUAGAGAAACUAUCUUGGUUGCCCUUGUCAAACUUGGACAUGAUAAAACCAUUAAUGAAGGUGUUAAGCGCUUUCACAUAUUAAAGCAUGAUAACAACUCCUCUAUUCUUUCUCCACACACUAGAAAGGCUGCAUACCUCUCUAUGAGGAAAAAAUCUAGUAGCUUAGAUAGAUCUGGCUAUGAUGAUCUUCGACAACUCUACAAGGACUUGGGAGAUGAGGAGGAAAAGCUACGCAUGUUAGGUGUAUUGUCUUCUUGCUCGGAUAUGGAAAUUGUUCUCGAGUCAUUGAAUUUAAUAUUCACUAAUGAGGUUGCCAAUGAACCUAUUUGCUCCUUCCUCGGUUAUACAUGA
rnacentral:rRNA from 1 species